AGCAGCCGCGGUAAUUCCAGCUCCAAUAGCGUAUAUUAAAGUUGUUGCAGUUAAAAAGCUCGUAGUUGAAUUUCGGGAUCAAGUCGUCGGUCGUGCCUCGGUACGCACUGGUGACAUUGGUUUCUCCCUUCUGAAGAACCUUGAUGUCAUUAAUUUGGUGUCUUGGGGAAUCAGGACUGUUACUUUGAAAAAAUUAGAGUGUUUAAAGCAGGCUCACGCUUGAAUACAUUAGCAUGGAAUAAUGAAAUAGGACGUUUGAUUCUAUUUUGUUGGUUUCUAGGAUCGACGUAAUGAUUAAUAGGGAUAGUUGGGGGCAUUAGUAUUCAAUUGUCAGAGGUGAAAUUCUUGGAUUUAUUGAAGACUAACUACUGCGAAAGCAUUUGCCAAGGAUGUUUUCAUUAAUCAAGAACGAAAGUUAGGGGAUCGAAGACGAUCAGAUACCGUCGUAGUCUUAACCAUAAACUAUGCCGACUAGGGAUCGGAUGAUGUAAUUUUUAAUGACUCAUUCGGCGCCUUAAC
rnacentral:rRNA from 1 species